rfam:Felis catus isolate Cinnamon breed Abyssinian chromosome F1, whole genome shotgun sequence.
GCCUGGCUGGCUUAGUUGGUAGAACAUGGGACUCUUGAUCUCAAGGUCGUGAGUUCGAGCCCCACGUUGAACA